rnacentral:tRNA from 2 species
AGUAGCUCAGUGGUGGAGCACUCGGCUGUUAACCGAUAGGUCGUAGGUUCGAAUCCUACCU